UACGUAGGGCGCAAGCGUUGUCCGGAAUUAUUGGGCGUAAAGAGCUCGUAGGCGGUCUGUUACGUCCGCUGUGAAAACCCGGGGCUUAACCCCUGGCUUGCAGUGGAUACGGACAGACUAGAGGUAGGUAGGGGAGAAUGGAAUUCCCGGUGUAGCGGUGAAAUGCGCAGAUAUCGGGAGGAACACCGGUGGCGAAGGCGGUUCUCUGGGCCUUACCUGACGCUGAGGAGCGAAAGCGUGGGGAGCGAACAGG
rnacentral:rRNA from 1 species